ACCAAGGAGUCUAACAUGUGCGCGAGCCGCGGGGCAGUACGAAACCCGUAAGGCGAAAUGAAGGUGAACGCCGGCGCGGUCCGGCGGAGGUUGGAUCCCGUCCCGUCGGGGCGGGCGCACUACCGGCCGAUCUUCUCCGCCCUGUCGGCGAGGUCGAGCGAGAGCGUGCAAGUCGGGACCCGAAAGAUGGUGAACUAUGCCUGA
rnacentral:ncRNA from 1 species